rnacentral:lncRNA from 1 species
GAGUUUUGCAUUUGAGGGGGAGUAUGCAUUAUUUUGCUCUUGUGCAUGCAUGUCAUUCUAGCAUGUUGUCAAGGUGAGUGCAUGUGUUCAGGGGGAGCUUGUGAGUUUUGUGCUCUCUUUUGCUCUUUUGUAGGUUGUGUUGAGCUGUUACCUCUUCUUGAGGAACCGGCAUUUGGUUUGAGCUUUCGAUCGUCACAUGAUUGGUGUUGAGCCCUAUUUGCCUCUUCUUGAGGGAUGAUGUGUUUUUGAUCUUCACAUGAUUGGUGUUGAGCCCUUUCUGCCUUUUCUUAAGGGAUCAUGUGUUCUUUGUCUCAGUUGUGUCGAGCCGUUGCCCAUAUCUUUGGGGACCGAGACUUUUCUAAGUUGAUUUGGCCUUUGUGAUGCUUCUCAUGCCAAGUGACUCCAACCUUUGCCUUUACAUGGCUUUCAAGCACUUGGAUGAGAGUUUUGCCUAAUUGGUUUCACAACUUGGCUUUUACAGCUCUUCUCAUCUCGAGUGACUUUGAUCUUGGCUUUUACUUGGCUUUUGAUCACUUGGCUGCGAUUUUUGGCUUUUGCAUCUCAAACCAUUUUGUUGUGCUUGAAUGUUGUUAACACACUCAUCAAGGGGGAGAUUGAGAAAAUCAAGUUGAUAUGAAUCUUGAUUUUAUAGUGAUGAGCGUUUGACAAAUGUUGAAAUGGCUUUGACGACAUUUUGGGAUUCAUGAAGCUCUUGUGUCUUUUGCUUGACUCUUUGGUUGUCGUGUGGGAUUCAUCAAUGGGGAGAUUGAGAAAUGGCUUUGAUGGCAACUUAGAAUUUUUGUUUGGAGCUUGCAUGAUCCUUUCUCAUAUCAAUUUGCCUUGUGUUUUCUUUUACUUUGCUUUUGGGCACUUGAAAGAGUUUUUUCUUUUUCUUUCAAAUCAUCUUCUGUCAAUGCACUUAUCAAGGGGGAGACUGAGAUACCAUGUUGAGAAGUGCCUUGGUGUAUGUAUGAUGAGUGAUUGACUAGAUGAUUUAAGGCUUUACCAGUUGAGUCCAUAUUUCAUAUGUGCAUGAUUAUGCUAACGGCUAACCGGAUGUGUUGUGUUGUGUGCGUUGUGUUUUGUGUUUGUGUAAACCAUAUGUUGUGCAUUGUGUCUUUUGGCUUGUGAUAUAAAGGUGUAGGAUGUGACAUGGCAGUCGACGGCAUGAGGUGAAGGUCAAGCACAAAAGGUUCAUGCCGAUGUACUAGGGAAGUGAAGGAUGGACAUGAGUAGGCUUGGACUAAGAGACCCGAGGAGUCCAAGCGGAGUCAUGGGCGAUCCACAUGGUGCACGGAAGAGCAAGAGUACACGGACGGUGAUGGAGAUGGCAUCAGUUGAGUCAAGCAAGAUGGAGGCAAGUUGAGUAGGCGGCCCGGGAGCCGGGAGCGAAAUACUUGCAGGCGUCAAAGACUUGGCAGAGGCUGGACACGCGUCGACAUCGGUGACUCACGCCUUGUGGGGCGUGCAAGAGGGUUUGACCGGUUUAACCUUAAAACCGGGGGUGAGUCACGCCAGGAGGGUGUGAAGAUGGUUUGACCUCAAAACUGGGGGUGAGUCACGCUAGGUGGGUGUGCAGAGGGUUCGGGUGGUUUGGGCCUCAAUACCACUGCGCAGGAAGGUUUGCCGGUUUGGGACUCAAAACCGGGGGCGAGUUCGGUGCGGCCGGACGGCGUAAAGUCGGAGGACGUGUGGCACCAUCGCAAAGUAUGUGUCGAGGCGAAGCGAAGUCGUGAAGGCACCGGGUCCGUUCGAUGAACGAAGAAAAAGUUGGACGACUUUACCCCUGGGGGGUAUUUGGGUUGUGUGCUUAAUGUAAGGGUAUUUUGGACAUUUGCCAAAUG